GAAAUACAUUUUCAUUAUCUCUAUGACGUUCCAUUUGUUUUUAUUUCUUUGGUUUUAUAUAAUAUAUUAUAAUUUUUAUAUUUUAUUUUUUUAAUUCAAAUUUAGAGAAGAAUUAUACAAAAUUUUUAUUUAUAGUAUGUAUAUGUAUAAAAAUUUACCUUGCUACUAUAUUUUAUAAAAUAUAUUGCUAAUAUAUUUUUCAAAAUUAAAAUCAUUUAAAAUUGGAAUUCAAAAAUAUUAAUUUUUUUUAAUUGAAAAUGGCAUUAUUAAUAAAUAUCAAGUGACUAUGGGUACUAUAAAAGUUUAUAAAUUAAAUUCAAAAGAAUCAACAAUCUAUAAUAAUUUAUACAAUAUGUUAAAAACUGCAUUUUAUUUCUUUAUGGUCGAUUAGCAAAAGCAAUAACAUGAUAACCUUUCAAUAGUUUAAAAGAUGUUACAGCAAAUUCAAAAUGUAAAAUGGAAAAAUUUACAGUUACAUAAUUUAAUCUUAAAAAUAAUAUUGAAAAUAUUUAUCAUGAAGUGCUAAAGGUGAAAAUAGUAUUAGGUAUAGAAAAAUGAUGCAAUUGAAACUAUUCAACAAAUACAUUCAACAAAUCCUCAUAGAAUUAGAAAAUGAAUAAAAUGAUUUUUCAUAUAUGUUUAACAAAUGAAUUAAAGUUUUAGAAACAAACAAAUAUCUAAACAUACAGGAGCAAUACAUCUAAAUAAAAUUAUCGAUCAACGACGACGUAACGAAUAUAAACUAUUAGGCAUAAUUGACUAUUUUAAAGCUAAUACAUCUACUUCACAUAAUUCAAUAUUAAAUAUAUCAAUUGCGUCCAUUGCGAACAUCAAGCAAUACGUAAAUACAUAUAUUUAUAUUUAUGUUUAUGUUAUAUAAAAAUAAAAUAAUAUUAUAUGUAAUAUAUAAUUAAUAUAAAAUAAUUUUAUUAAUAAUUAAUGUAAUUAUUAAUGAAAUUAAUAAUAGAUUAAAAAGAUUAAUAAUUAUAUUAAUGAAAUUAAUAAAUAAUUAUUUUGUAAUAUUUCAUAUUUCCCAAACUCUUAUUAGAGUGCAAGAAAAUAUUGAUCCAUUAAUCCAUGUUAAUAUCAAUUACCAAUUAAUAAGAUAUUUAUUUGUAAAAAUUAGUUUUCAAUUUCUAAAAAUUAAUUUCAAAAAAAGAAUAAUUAAGUAGAAAAUAAUUUUAAUUUAGUUUUUUAGUUAACUUUUAAGAAAAUAUUAUUUAAUAUUUUUAAUUUUUUAAGGAUUUCAUGAUUUAUCUAAUUUAUAUUAUUUCAAUAAUUGAAUUCAAUAAUUUCAAUAAUUUUCUUUUUUUAUAUUUUAUAUUUUUGAUUUUGAUAAAGAAAAAAGGAUAUAUAAUGGUUAGAUUUUUUCUUUAUAUUUUAUUUUUCAUUAUAGGAGGAAAAGGAAUAAACUAUAAAAAAAAAAUUAUAAAAAUUCAUCUUUGGGAAAAGAUAAAAAUUUAUCAAAUAUCAAUUCAUUAUAUUUAAAUUUUAAAUUUUAUAUAAAUAUAUUUAAAUUUUAUUAAAAAUAUAAAUGAAAUAUUUUUCUUGUGGAAGAUAGAAAGUAAGCAAUGACAAUUUUAAUAUAUUUAAAUUUUUUUAAUAUAACAAUUUUUAUGUAGAUUUUAUAUAGAUAUGUUCUUAUAGAUAAAAUUUAUGUAUAAUAAUUUUAAUAAGAAACUACAAUAUUUUUCUCUUUUUUUUAUUAUUAUUAUAUUGUUAAGAAAUAGAAACAAAAAAAUAUUAUAUAUAUUUAUAUAAUAAAAUAUAAGUUUAUAUGAAUAAUAAAAUUUAUUUAUAUUUAAA